GCCAUGACUUACUGACAAAUAAGACUACCACCAAUUUAAACUACGUGAAUCAUAUACAGCGUACGAUGUAAGGCACUGCACAGUUUGCUUUAAUUAACGGCCUCAAUUUGCUGCGAUGGUGGGUGGCACGGGCAUGGGGGGGGGGCGCCUCAGGUGGUGAUAGCGAGUGGAGGUGGCAAUGGUGCAGCCAGCCUUCGCCAAACCUAACGAGGGCCGUGCCUGUCUGAGAGCCUCGACAGACGUCCGGUGAUCAGCAGGGCAUCGUUGUAGGUGUUGUAAGCAGGGUCUGGGAGGGAUAGCCCUACUUGCCCGUUUGAAGCCCCCUUCGCUUUGCUGUUGUUGGGUGGCGGUCAAAGAUUCCCACGCUGAGGAGGCACGCGCGAGUUACGACACCAACCCCUGACUGACAGCCGGUACCCGUUCACUGCUGGCUGGACUGAGGGCAUGGAUGAAAGGACACUGCCCGUCCGUAUAUACUCCAACCGGCAAAAUAUGCGCCAGGAAUCGAACUCGGGACGUCUUGGUCGUGCGAAGAACGUGUUAAGCACUACACUGCGAAACUGUUGUGUGUGUGUGUGUGUGUGUGUGUGUGUGUGUGUUUAUUUCUGAGUGAAGACAACAAACGUAGCAGCAGCAGCCAACACAAUGGUAACUCUGACGGUGGACUACAAUUACGAAAGGUCAGUGUGUGUGUGUGUGUGUGUGUGUGUGUGUGUACCUAUAGAUGUAGUAUACAAGGUUUGAGCUAAGCUCGUAUCGUCCAGUCUCUACAUCUGUUUUCAUCUAACGUAGAGUUAAUGAUUUUUUUUUAGCUUUUUAUUUCCUCAUUCAGACUACUCCUAAUUUCAGUGAUAAUAUUGAGAAAGCCAAAUUUUACAUCCUUUCCAAAUUUGCUCUACUUUUUGCUAACGUCCACUUGUCCUUCCACUAUUCCUCACCAGUAAGGCUUCCCUGUCGACACGCUCCAUGUCCUUUACGAUUUUGAAUAGCAUAUAAUUAAGUUACCUCUUUCUUGCAAUGUAGGAAGUUCCAGCUUGCUCGGUCUUAACGUGUUUGGUGGUUCUCUUCAAUUAAGCUUCGCGUAACUUUUAUCACACCACUUCCUCUGUACUCCUCCCAACUUUUUUUUCAAGUGAGGCGCCCACACCACGGCAGCAGAUUCUAGUCUUCAUAUUAUCGAAGAGUUACCAAAGUUCUUUGCAUUUCCUCAACCAUGCUGAUAAAUGCCAUUUUUUUCAAUAAUCUAGAACAUUUUCCGGCCAUCUUGUCAAAUGCUUCCUCUGUGGAACGGUUGUUUAAUUACUACCGGUGUGGUGUCAUCUGCCAUCCACGUAUCCUAAGACAUCCCAUCCUGAUCUUCGCAUGCGCGUAACCCGAUGUUUACAAACACAGUAAUGAUAUCGUAAUUUGUCCAGGCAAGAUGGCGACAAGACAUACAAGGAGUGUAGGUUAUCUCUUUUAUCACAUUUACUGACAUACAAGGAGUGCAUGUUAUCUCUUUUAUCACAUUUACCGACAUACAAGGGGUGCAGGUUAUCUCUUUUAUCACAUUUACCGACAUACAAGGGGUGCAGGUUAUCUCUUUUAUCACAUUUACCGACAUACAAGGGGUGCAAGUUAUCUCUUUUAUCACAUUUACCAACAUACAAGGGGUGCAAGUUAUCUCUUAUCACAUUUACGGACAUACAAGAGGUGCAUCCCGUGCAGGUUAUCUCUUUUAUCACAUUUACUGACAUACAACGGGUGCAGGUUAUCUCUUUUAUCACAUUUACUGACAUACAAGGAGUGCAGGUUAUCUCUUUUAUCACAUUUACCGACAUACAACGGGUGCAUCCCGUGCAGUUUAUCUCUUUUAUCACAUUUACCGACAUACAAGGGGUGCAUCCCGUGCAGGUUAUCUCUUUUAUCACAUUUACCAACAUACAAGGGGUGCAGGUUAUCUCUUUUAUCAUAUUUACCGACAUACAAGGGGUGCAGGUUAUCUCUUUUAUCACAUUUACCGACAUACAAGGGGUGCAGGUUAUCUCUUUUAUCACAUUUACCGACAUACAACGGGUGCUGGUUAUCUCUUUUAUCACAUUUACCGACAUACAAGGGGUGCAGGUUAUCUAUUAUCACAUUUACUGACACACAAGAGGUGCAGGUUAUCACAUUUAUCACAUUUACUGACAUACAAGUGGUGCAGGUUAUCAGAUUUAUCACAUUUAUUGACAUACAAGGGGUGCAGGUUAUCGCAUUUAUUACAUUUACGGACAUACAAGGGGUGCAGGUUAUCAGAUUUAUCACAUUUACUGACAUACAAGGGGUGCAGGUUAUCUCUUUUAUCACAUUUACCGACAUACAAGGGGUGCAGGUUAUCUCUUAUCACAUUUACUGACAUACAAGGGGUGCAGGUUAUCACAUCUAUCACAUUUACUGACAUACACGGGGAGCAGGAUAUCUUUUAUCACAUUAACCGACAUACAAGGGGUACAGGCUGUAUCUCUUUUAUCACAUUUACCGACAUACAAGGGGUGCAGGAAAAAAAACUUUCAUAUUUCACGCAAUUUUCAAAUUCAAAACAUACGUCAUCAUUUACUUUAAAAAAAAAAAAUAAACUUAGGAGGAACAGAUCACAAUAGACAGUCGACAGAAGACACAGUACCGUUGUGGUGUCAUGAGACAUCCCAAGAUCGUGAGACUCCCAUCCGGAAUACAUACAUGAAUUUCGACACGGUACCGUGUCUUACGUCGACUGCUUGUCGAGAUCUGUCCCAUUCAACUUCCAAGUUUACUUAUAUUAUUAUGAAAGCACAUAGGGAAGGCGGUGGCUGAGUCGACAGAGUGACGGCGCCGCGUUCAGGAGGACGCGAGUUCAAUCCCCGCCCGAUGCCACCAGGCUGGGAUUUUUCAGCCACCGCCAAGUGGCUUAAAACUACCCACAUGCUGUCCAGAAGACCACCUAUCAACCCGGACUUUAGAUUCUAGGAUUAAAGAUGAGCUCCGGGAGGGCAGCAUGAGCCAAUGCAAGAUGGCGCCACUAUAAACACUCGCCUGCGCCAGAACGGGCUGGGCCGACAAUCAGGCCCAACCAGGAAGAAGCCUUGGGCCGACCAUCAGGCCCCAUCGGGAAGAAGCCUACCGGCGCAACAGGCCACGACGUAAAAAAUAUAAAAAAAGACGUAUGUAUGUAUAUAACUAGGAUAUCAACAACCACUCUCCUCCUUCCUGUGACCUGUUCCGCUUUGCAUCGCUUUUUAGGACCUCCUUGGUACUGUUUUACACUUAGAUGCUUCAUUCAGUUACUCUGUGAUAGUAAAGAUUGGGUUCCGCGAUGCGAAAUUAAGGAUGGGAUGUCUUAGGAUACCGGAUGACAGAUGACACCACACCGUGUCGAAAUUCAUCCACCCUCUUUGUAAACAAAGCCCGCGCAUGCGCAUUGAGGAUGGGAUCUCUUAGGAUACGUGGAUGGCAGAUGACACCACACCCGUACUAUCAGCCUGGAUUUUUCUCAUCAUUUGCUUCACAAGAGGACGCUCCAUCUUUAUUAUACUCCCAUAUGGGAAUAUAAUAAGGUGUGUGUGUGUGUGUGUGUGUGUGUGUGUGCUCUAUUCAUGGGGAUGCAGCAGCAAACGGAGCAGCAGCAACUACAGUCAACCCGUCACUCCUACUAUCGCCCACAUUAAGGAAAGGUCACCAAGAUAUAUUAUACACUUUGUUGGUGGAAAAUUUUUGAACAAUGCGAAAGUGAUGGCUUACAAAACUGAAGUCAUUUAGUACAGUCUGCCAUUGCCACUACUACUACUACUACUACUACUACUACUACUAUUACUACUACUGCUACCAUAAUCAUUACCAUCACGACCAUACAUCACUCAUGAGUUAUCAGUAUAAAUGUAAUUACCACAACUACCAGCAUAAACACGUCAGUUUUUAUUACUACGAGCCCCGCACCACCCGAUAAGCUAUGGGACACGGAAUUUCCUUAUCUAUCCGUAGCCUAAAUCAGGGCCGAGAUCCGUAUUCUCAGGCGCUUCUGGCUCACAACUAUUUCAAAAAGGCAGAAAAGGAAAUUAAUCGUUUUCUCAUAAACCUUGUAAAACUACCACCAUGGUCAUUAAACUACCCCUGGAAAUGCCACAACUACAAAAGCCCUGUCAAAUGCGUGUGUGCAAGCCCCGAAAUGCUUAUGAAUAUGGCCCGUAGCACCUUCACCUUCACUGCUACCCUCAAACAAUCAAAUCUCUCCACCUUCUUCACUUCUUAUCACUCUCCCUGUUCCCUCUCCUGCUCAUGCUCGUAGGUUCAUUUUCUUCUUCACUUUCCUUACUUCUCACUGCUGCCACCUAUACUCAAUGACCCCCCCACCAGCGCGCCUAUUAGAAUCAUUUAUUAUCCAUUCCUUCGUUCACCUUCACCCUCAUCUCCGUUACUUAAUUAAGACUGCUACAACCCCACCUGUGAAUCUUCCAGUUACUCCUUACCUUAUUUCUUCUACUACUUACUCUUUCUCUUCACUUCCGUUGCCUGUCAGUGCUACAACUCCCCAACGAUCCCUUCACCAACCGUCUCUCAUUCCUCUUCCCUCUCUUCCCUCACUCAGUUUUCAUUCUGCCCGCCACGCCCUAUCUCGCAUUCCUUAGCUAUGACACAUGCAACCUUAAGUGAAGAGGGUGAGUACUGAGAGAGAGAGAGAGAGAGAGAGAGAGAGAGAGAGAGAGAGAGAGAGACUGCAACACCCAUAAUGGUAACAAUUUAGCCGUGAGCGGAGGGAGGAGGGCACGUCACGAACCAACAAACAAACCAACACGCGCCAUACAUAACGAGGACUUCCGCAACCCUGCUGACAACUCUCCCCGAUCCAGACAGAAUCCGCACAACCUCUCCCUCAUCCCACCCAAACGUACCAACACUUACAAUAGCAGGAACCCACAACCCUCUCCCACCUAGCCCAUGACCGCGCAGCAGGCUAGUGUGGGAAGGAGGGAGGAAGACAGGGAGUGUAAGGACGGGGUGCAGGGCGUUGGGAAGGGAGACUGAAGGAGUAGGGCCGUGGGGAGGAAGACAUAGGGAGUAGGGCCGUGGGGAGUUCACAAGUGUAGCGGGAAGAGAAAAGAGCUACCAAACACCACCACCAUCACAAAGUCGUUUUUCACCGCUGCGAAAGCCUUCC